UUGGAGGGCAAGUCUGGUGCCAGCAGCCGCGGUAGUUCCAGCUCCAAUAGCGUAUAUUAAAGUUGUUGCAGUUAAAAAGCUCGUAGUUGAAUUUCGGGAUCAAUUUAUCGGUCGUGCCUACGGUAUGAACUGGUACAAUUGGUUUCUCCCUUCUGACGAAGCAUGAUGUCAUUAAUUUGGUGUCGUGGGGAAUCAGGACUGUUACUUUGAAAAAAUUAGAGUGUUUAAAGCAAGCAUUAGCUUGAAUACAUUAGCAUGGAAUAAUGAAAUAGGACGUUUGAUCCUAUUUUGUUGGUUUCUAGGAUUGACGUAAUGAUUAAUAGGGAUAGUUGGGGGCAUUAGUAUUCAAUUGUCAGAGGUGAAAUUCUUGGAUUUAUUGAAGACUAACUACUGCGAAAGCAUUUGCCAAGGAUGUUUUCAUUAAUCAAGAACGAAAGUUAGGGGAUCGAAGACGAUCAGAUACCGUCGUAGUCCUAACCAUAAACUAUGCCGACUAGGGAUCGGAUGAUGUUAAUUUUUAAUGACUCAUUCGGCGCCUUACGGGAAAC
rnacentral:rRNA from 1 species